GUAUCUUUUAUGGAUAAAGAUGUGUCUAUUUUUGCAAAGUGACAUAUGUGAUUAAGGAAUACAUGUUAGGGAAAGGUUAUGGAUGUUCAUGUCAAUGUAUUUAUGGUUUCAUGUAGAGUUUUGAUGCAUGGACACUAUUUACCAAAUGGGUUGUGCUCAUUUUGCUUAAACUUGUUUAUGGUUAUUUUUAUUAAUAGACCCCAUAAAUUUAACUGAAGUUUUCUUAAUCGCUUCCGCAAAUGUUCAUAAUUUUUUUUUAUUUAGAGCACUUUAUCUUGAGCCCAUUUGAUUAUGUAAGAAGACCUUGUUGGCUGGUCACGGGCCGUGAUUCCCUUUUAAAGGGUCUAAGGAUAGCGGGUCGUGACAGACUGGUAUCAGAGUACGCGUUAGUCCUGACCUAAGUUCAUAUGAGUUAGAAUCAUGUUUAACAAUGCAUUCAUGCAUGCACAAAUUUUAUUGAAUAAGUAUUGUUGAUGCGUAUAUUAGCUUUUUUUUAUACAUGCUCAAAUGUGUAAGAAUGUGUGGCGAUUUGGUAUAUGUUAUUGCAUAAUAUGUUUGUU